GACUCAGUUCAACGGCCGCGGUAUCCUGACCGUGCGAAGGUAGCGUAAUCACUUGUUCUUUAAAUAAGGACUAGUAUGAAUGGCACCACGAGGGUUAUACUGUCUCCCUUUUUUAAUCAGUGAAACUAAUCUCCCCGUGAAGAAGCGGAGAUAACGCUAUAAGACGAGAAGACCCCAUGGAGCUUUAAACAAAUAGCAUAUGCUUACACCACCUCCCCCUGUAAAAAGUCAAGCAUUUUGUCUACUAGUUUUCGGUUGGGGCGACCACGGAGAAAAACAAAUCCUCCGCGUUGAAAGAACUUCAGUUCUUAACUAUAAGCUACACCUUUAAGUAUCAACAACUUGACAACCCUUGACCCAAUAAUAUUGAUCAACGAACCUAGUUACCCUGGGGAUAACAGCGCAAUCCAUUUCAAGAGCUCCUAUCGACAAUUGGGUUUACGACCUCGAUGUUGGAUCAGGGUAUCCCAGUGGUGCAGCC
rnacentral:rRNA from 1 species